AUACGGAGGGAGCGAGCGUUAAUCGGAAUUACUGGGCGUAAAGCGCGCGUAGGCGGCUUUGUAAGUCGGAUGUGAAAGCCCUGGGCUCAACCUGGGAAUGGCAUUCGAUACUGCAGAGCUCGAGUAUGGUAGAGGGAAGUGGAAUUUCCGGUGUAGCGGUGAAAUGCGUAGAUAUCGGAAGGAACACCAGUGGCGAAGGCGACUUCCUGGGCCAAUACUGACGCUGAGGUGCGAAAGCGUGGGGAGCAAACAGGAUUAGAAACCCCGGUAGUCC
rnacentral:rRNA from 1 species